rnacentral:rRNA from 1 species
UACGUAGGGGGCAAGCGUUGUCCGGAAUCAUUGGGCGUAAAGAGCGUGUAGGCGGUUCAGUAAGUCCGCUGUGAAAGUCAAGGGCUCAACCCUUGAAUGCCGGUGGAUACUGUUGAACUAGAGUCCGGAAGAGGCGAGUGGAAUUCCUGGUGUAGCGGUGAAAUGCGCAGAUAUCAGGAGGAACACCGAUGGCGAAGGCAGCUCGCUGGGACGGUACUGACGCUGAGGAGCGAAAGCGUGGGGAGCAAACAGG